GCAUGGUAGAGUUGGCCAGAACUGUUUUCACUGAAUGGUUAGGGAAGUCCUUUCUGAUCUGGUGGCACCUGAGCAGAGAUCUGGAGGAAGUAAGGGAGUGAGUCUCCUGGAUCCCUGAAGAGAGCAUUUCAUGUGCAGAGAGAGCAGCAAGUGCAAAGGCCCUGAGGUAGAACACAGUUGGUGUGUUGAAGGAAAAGGCAGGAGGGCAGUGUGACUGGAGUCAGAAGCCACAAACAGAGAGAGCCGGCACCCCUGUUCUGCCAUUGAUCGGGUCUUCACCACCCAACCUGAAGAUUCAAGGUUUUAUUUUUAAGUAAUCUCCACACUCAACACGGUGCUCGAACUCACAACCCCGAGAUCAAGAGUCGCACGUUCUACUGACUGAGCCAGCCAGGUGCCCCAGAGCUUCUGUUUCCUGUCAGUCAGUUAUCACUUGCAAAACAGCUGCCUGCAAAAAAAGGAUUGGAGGAUAGUCAUUGUACUGCCCUCGGUUAUCCGUAAGCGGGUAUGGGAAGGUGGAUGGAGGAAGCCAGCAGGAGAAGGCAGAACUUAUUCUCCUAAAUUGUUGCAACUGUGUACAACAAACAGGCAUAGAUUUUGUUUGUUUGUUUUAAAGGAAACAUGAUAUGGAAAAAUUAAAACCUGUGAAAUUACUGGAAGAUGCUGGGAUGUGGCCAUUCUGAGGUGGUCCUUGGUGGGAGCUGUUCAGUCUGGAUAGAGAGAAGGCUGGAAGAGAGAGAAGAAAAGAGAAGCUUUGCCUAGUGGAUACCCCAAAAUUUUCUGGACUUAAUAAUAAUAAAAGGCAAAACUUCAUUUGUCCAAAGAAAGCGUGUAGAACUGGAUGGUUGUCUGUCAUGGUCAUAGCCAAGCAAAAAGCAGGGUACAGAGAAGGCAUCUCUAUUAGUGUUCUCACCGUAACAAAUGCUGCAAACCGAGUGGAUUAAAAUGAGCAAGCCGUAUGCUCUCAUCUUCUGGAAGCUAGACGUCUGGAAGUGAGAAAACUUGUGCCCUGGAAAAGUCCCGAACCUUCCCUGAGGUUGCAGAAAUGGUUCAGGGCGAGCACUGAACGCCAGCCCCGGACCUCAAGUCCCGGUUCCCUGUGCUCCUCCCACAGCACAGUAACUGUCUAGACUGGUUUGUUUUCUGUCUUUUACUGGCAUUUUUAGGAGGGCUUAGCAUGAUCUUUAAACCUGGAUGUUUCGCUGUGGAAUCUCAGAGCAUUUAAAACUCAUGACCCUGAGAUCAGGACCUGAGCUGAGAUCAAGAGUGGGACGCUUAGCCGGCAGAGCCACACGGGCGCCCCAAAGCAUGAGCACUGAGUCAUGUAUGGAAUUGUUGAAUCAUUAUGUUGUGUACCUGAAACUAGUAUAACAUUGUAUGUUAGUUAUACUUCAAUAAAAAUAAAUGAAUAAAAGAAUUAUGUUAGACCCUUACAAAAAUAGAUAGGUAGGUAGAUCAUAGAUGAUAGAGAGAGAGAGAAAAUAGAGAGAAAGAGAGAGAGAGAUAAAAUGGCUUUCUACAUGCACCAUAAUCCAAAUCCACGGGAAUGAGCUAAAAAUUAGAAAGGAGCUGUUAUUUGUGUUUAGUGAGGACCAGCAUUAAGCUGGGUGUUUAGUGAGAUAUGUUUUCUCAAUAAAAUUUUACAAGAUAUCAUGACCCAGGUGAUUCCCUCACUCUCUCUCUCCCUUCUACAGCUGAGAAAACUGAGAUUUCUUGGCUUAAAUGAUUUUUCCCAAAGUCACACAGCUUGUAAGAGAUGGAAGUUGGGAUUGCCAACCUCGGUUUAUUUGACUCCACAAUUCAUAAAAACAUGAUUCUCUGGGGCGCCUGGGUGGCGCAGUCGUUAGGCGUCUGCCUUCGGCUCAGGGCGUGAUCCCGGCGUUAUGGGAUCGAGCCCCACAUCGGGCUCCUCUGCUGUGAGCCUGGU